AGUGAACGCUGGCGGUAGGCCUAACACAUGCAAGUCGAACGGCAGCACAGUAAGAGCUUGCUCUUACGGGUGGCGAGUGGCGGACGGGUGAGGAAUACAUCGGAAUCUACUUUUUCGUGGGGGAUAACGUAGGGAAACUUACGCUAAUACCGCAUACGACCUACGGGUGAAAGCAGGGGAUCUUCGGACCUUGCGCGAUUGAAUGAGCUGAUGUCGGAUUAGCUAGUUGGCGGGGUAAAGGCCCGCCAAGGCGACGAUCCGUAGCUGGUCUGAGAGGAUGAUCAGCCACACUGGAACUGAGACACGGUCCAGACUCCUACGGGAGGCAGCAGUGGGGAAUAUUGGACAAUGGGCGCAAGCCUGAUCCAGCCAUACCGCGUGGGUGAAGAAGGCCUUCGGGUUGUAAAGCCCUUUUGUUGGGAAAGAAAAGCAGCAGGUUAAUACCCCGCUGUUCUGACGGUACCCAAAGAAUAAGCACCGGCUAACUUCGUG
rnacentral:rRNA from 1 species